rnacentral:rRNA from 1 species
UAUAAGCAAUUUAUACAGUGAAACUGCGAAUGGCUCAUUAAAUCAGUUAUCGUUUAUUUGAUAGUUCCUUUACUACAUGGUAUAACUGUGGUAAUUCUAGAGCUAAUACAUGCUUAAAAUCUCGACCCUUUGGAAGAGAUGUAUUUAUUAGAUAAAAAAUCAAUGUCUUCGGACUCUUUGAUGAUUCAUAAUAACUUUUCGAAUCGCAUGGCCUUGUGCUGGCGAUGGUUCAUUCAAAUUUCUGCCCUAUCAACUUUCGAUGGUAGGAUAGUGGCCUACCAUGGUUUCAACGGGUAACGGGGAAUAAGGGUUCGAUUCCGGAGAGGGAGCCUGAGAAACGGCUACCACAUCCAAGGAAGGCAGCAGGCGCGCAAAUUACCCAAUCCUAAUUCAGGGAGGUAGUGACAAUAAAUAACGAUACAGGGCCCAUUCGGGUCUUGUAAUUGGAAUGAGUACAAUGUAAAUACCUUAACGAGGAACAAUUGGAGGGCAAGUCUGGUGCCAGCAGCCGCGGUAAUUCCAGCUCCAAUAGCGUAUAUUAAAGUUGUUGCAGUUAAAAAGCUCGUAGUUGAACUUUGGGCCCGGUUGGCCGGUCCGAUUUUUUCGUGUACUGGAUUUCCAACGGGGCCUUUCCUUCUGGCUAACCUUGAGUCCUUGUGGCUCUUGGCGAACCAGGACUUUUACUUUGAAAAAAUUAGAGUGUUCAAAGCAGGCGUAUUGCUCGAAUAUAUUAGCAUGGAAUAAUAGAAUAGGACGUUUGGUUCUAUUUUGUUGGUUUCUAGGACCAUCGUAAUGAUUAAUAGGGACGGUCGGGGGCAUCAGUAUUCAAUUGUCAGAGGUGAAAUUCUUGGAUUUAUUGAAGACUAACUACUGCGAAAGCAUUUGCCAAGGACGUUUCAUUAUCAAGACGAAAGUAAGGGGAUCGAGAUGAUCAGAUACGUCGUAGUCUACAUAACUAUGCGACUAGGGAUCGGGUGGUGUUUUUAUGACCACUCGACCUACGAGAAUCAAGUCUGGUUCUGGGGGGUUGUCGCAGCUGAACUAGAAUUGACGAGAAAACG